AACGAACGCUGGCGGCAUGCCUAACACAUGCAAGUCGAACGAGACCUUCGGGUCUAGUGGCGCACGGGUGCGUAACGCGUGGGAACCUGCCCUUAGGUUCGGAAUAACUCCCCGAAUGGGGUGCUAAUACCGGUUAAUGUCUUCUGACCAAAGAUUUAUCGCCUUUGGAUGGGCCCGCGUUGGAUUAGCUUGUUGGUAGGGUAAAAGCCUACCAAGGCGACGAUCCAUAGCUGGUCUGAGAGGAUGAUCAGCCACACUGGGACUGAGACACGGCCCAGACUCGUACGGGAGGGAGCAGUGGGGAAUAUUGGAAAAUGGGCGAAAGCAUGAUAAAGCAAGGCCGGGUGAGUGAUGAAGGCCUUAGGGUUGUAAAGCUCUUUUAACCGGGAUGAUAAUGACAGUACCGGGAGAAUAAGCACCGGCUAACUCCGUG
rnacentral:rRNA from 1 species